CUCUUCGGGGAUGAUUAAACCGGCGCACGGGUGAGUAACACGUGAGUGACCUGCCUUUUAGACUGGAACAACUUACCGAAAGGUGAGCUAAUGCCGGAUGAGUUAUAUAAGUGCAUGUUUAUAUAGGAAAAGUUGGGGAGACCUGACGCUGAAAGAUGGACUCGCGUCCCAUUAGCUAGUUGGUAGGGUAAUGGCCUACCAAGGCGACGAUGGGUAGCCGGCCUGAGAGGGUGGCCGGCCACACUGGGACUGAGACACGGCCCAGACUCCUACGGGAGGCAGCAGUGGGGAAUUUUGCGCAAUGCUCGUAAGAGUGACGCAGCGACGCCGCGUGAAUGACGAAGGCCUUCGGGUCGUAAAGUUCUUUCGACAGGGAAGAAAAUGCCUAUAAGUAACUGUGUAUGUAUUGACGGUACCUGUAUAAGCAGCCCCGGCUAACUCCGUGCCAGCAGCCGCGGUAAUACGGAGGGGGCGAGCGUUGUUCGGAGUGACUGGGCGUAAAGAGCACGUAGGCGGUGUUGUAAGUCAUUAGUCAAAGACUAGAGCUCAACUUUAGUAAGGCUAGUGAUACUAUAAUACCAGAGUAUCAGAGAGGAUUGCAGAAUUCCUGGUGUAGCGGUGAAAUGCGUAGAUAUCAGGAGGAAUACCGUUAGCGAAGGCGGCAAUCUGGCUGGAAACUGACGCUGAGGUGCGAAAGCGUGGGUAGCAAACAGGAUUAGAUACCCUGGUAGUCCACGCUGUAAACGAUGGAUGCUANGUGUUGGGCUUUUAAGUUCAGUGCCGCAGCNAACGCGAUAAGCAUCCCG
rnacentral:rRNA from 1 species